rnacentral:rRNA from 1 species
GAUGAACGCUGGCGGCGUGCUUAACACAUGCAAGUCGAACGGAUGCAGGGAGCUUGCUCCUUGCAUUAGUGGCGGACGGGUGAGUAACGCGUGAGCAAUCUGCCCAUAUCUGGGGGAUAACAGUUAGAAAUGACUGCUAAUACCGCAUAUGACCACGAAGAGGCAUCUCUUUGAGGUGAAAGAUUUAUUGGAUAUGGAUGAGCUCGCGUCCUAUUAGGCAGUUGGCGGGGUAACGGCCCACCAAACCGACGAUAGGUAGCCGACCUGAGAGGGUGAUCGGCCACAUUGGAACUGAGACACGGUCCAA